rnacentral:misc_RNA from 1 species
AAGCAAACCCUUAAAUCCCAUCUCUCUCUCUCCUGCCUUUCUUCCUUCCUUCCUUUCUCUCUCUAACCCAUUUUCCCAACUCAAACCAUCAAUUUUGAGACACCAUACCAGGGAGUUAGAGAGAGAAAGCUCAGGCAUAUGCACCUUCUCCUGGUUACUAUAUAUUGGAUAAAACAGGUGCUGUAGACGAUUUGGCUUUGAGGAAGAGAGACAAGAUGCGCAGGUGGCUUUGUUGUACCUGUCAAGUAGAAGAAUCAUACCCAUCACGGGAGAAUGAGCAACAAAGAAGCCCAAAGAACUACACAGAUGGGAACCCAAUGAAGGGCUCAAAGGUAUCAGCUCCGGUCAGAGCUGAAGUGCAGAAGGAAGCGCCUCCAAUUGAAGUGCCUGCAUUGUCUUUAGAUGAAUUGAAAGAGAAGACUGACAAUUUUGGUUCGAAGGCAUUAAUUGGUGAAGGAUCCUAUGGAAGAGUCUAUUAUACUAACUUAGAUAAUGGGAAAGCUGUGGCAGUAAAAAAA